CGCCCGCUCAGAAACUCAAAUGAUGACGGGGCCCGCACAAGCGGAGGAACAUGUGGUUUAAUUCGAUGAUACGCGACGGAACCUUACCCGGGCUUGAAAUGCAUCUGACCGGCCUUGAAAGAGGUUUUCCCUUCGGGGCAGAUGUGUAGGUGCUGCAUGGUUGUCGUCAGCUCGUGCCGUGAGGUGUCGGCUUAAGUGCCAUAACGAGCGCAACCCUCAUCAUUAGUUACCAUCAGGUAAGGCUGGGGACUCUAAUGAGACUGCCAUCGUAAGAUGUGAGGAAGGUGGGGAUGACGUCAAAUCAGCACGGCCCUUACGUCCGGGGCGACACACGUGUUACAAUGGGUGGUACAAAGGGCAGCUACCUGGCGACAGGAUGCUAAUCUCCAAAACCACUCUCAGUUCGGAUCGGAGUCUGCAACUCGACUCCGUGAAGCUGGAUUCGCUAGUAAUCGCGCAUCAGCCAUGGCGCGGUGAAUACGUUCCCGGGCCUU
rnacentral:rRNA from 1 species